UACGGAGGAUGCGAGCGUUAUCCGGAUUUAUUGGGUUUAAAGGGUGCGUAGGCGGACUGUCAAGUCAGCGGUAAAAUUGAGAGGCUCAACCUCUUCCCGCCGUUGAAACUGGUGGUCUUGAGUGGAUGAGAAGUACGCGGAAUGCGUGGUGUAGCGGUGAAAUGCAUAGAUAUCACGCAGAACUCCGAUUGCGAAGGCAGCGUACCGGCAUCCAACUGACGCUGAGGCACGAAAGCGUGGGGAACAAACAGG
rnacentral:rRNA from 1 species